GUUCGUUGGGUAGGGGAGCGUUCUGUAAGCCUGUGAAGGUGUGUCGUGAGGCAUGCUGGAGGUAUCAGAAGUGCGAAUGCUGACAUAAGUAACGAUAAAGCGGGUGAAAAGCCCGCUCGCCGGAAGACCAAGGGUUCCUGUCCAACGUUAAUCGGGGCAGGGUGAGUCGACCCCUAAGGCGAGGCCGAAAGGCGUAGUCGAUGGGAAACGGGUUAAUAUUCCCGUACUUGGUGUUACUGCGAAGGGGGGACGGAGAAGGCUAUGUUGGCCGGGCGACGGUUGUCCCGGUUUAAGCGUGUAGGUGUGUGUUCCAGGUAAAUCCGGUUCACUUUAACACUGAGGCGUGACGACGAGGCACUACGGUGCUGAAGCAACAAAUGCCCUGCUUCCAGGAAAAGCCUCUAAGCAUCAGGUAACACGAAAUCGUACCCCAAACCGACACAGGUGGUCAGGUAGAGAAUACCAAGGCGCUUGAGAGAACUCGGGUGAAGGAACUAGGCAAAAUGGUGCCGUAACUUCGGGAGAAGGCACGCUGACACGUAGGUGAAGUGAUUUACUCAUGGAGCUGAAGUCAGUCGAAGAUACCAGCUGGCUGCAACUGUUUAUUAAAAACACAGCACUGUGCAAACACGAAAGUGGACGUAUACGGUGUGACGCCUGCCCGGUGCCGGAAGGUUAAUUGAUGGGGUCAGCG
rnacentral:rRNA from 2 species